CUUCACAGGGUUAGGGCCAACGCCAGCGUCAUCAAUCGUGUGUGACAGAUCUUUGGGGAGGGAAGGCGGAGGAGGAGCCGCCAUAGCCACAGCGCCAAGCAGCAGGAUCGUCGGGCAGCUCUGCAAUCCCUCCGCGCGCUCGUAAUCUUCGCGGCUAUGGCGCUUUUUUCCUGCUGCGCUUAGGUCGGGGGAGCGCAAUCAGCAGCGAUGCACGGCGCGCAGCUACGGCAAUGGGCGAGGUGCUACCAAGCUUGUCGCGAGAUUUGGUACACCAGUAUGAAAUUGAGGAGGAGGAAGUGACUAUGGUGUCGAGCCCAGAUCGACCCCCUGGAUCUCCGGGCGCUCCCCUGGAUCUCAAUUUCCAGAAUGCCAACCAAGUAGACGAGCCCACUCUCUCACUGGACGCUAGAGAGCACCAGGAAGAAUUUUCUCGCGGCUCCGGCAUGGAUUCUCACCUGGGCGAGUCAAACCAUUUUUCCCGCUCAGACAGGGAGCUGGAAAACGCUCUCCCGCUGCAUCAAGACAAGGAAGAUAAGGGGCGGGGUGGCAGGAAAACUCGAUGGGAUCCAUCGCCCACCAAGCAGGGAGCUCAAUCGGAGUCCGGGAACGAUUUAGCUUAUGGUCAAGACAAUGAUCUUGACGAGAGACACACCAUCGGUUCUCGGAGGGCCUCUAUGAUCUCUUCUUCGAGCAGCUAUGGAAAUGGUUACGCGGACCAUGACUCGAGAAGCCGGAGAUACAAUGACAGCCGGAGGUGUGUGACGAUCCAGGGGAACAUCCGCAAAGAUAACUACUAUAGAAACGAUGUGAAGCCGAGCUUAGAGUACAAGAGCUCUUCGUACGAGCGUUCAGCGGUUUACGAUAGGGGGCCUCACAGAUUUGGUACUAGGAAUGGCUUCGAGCGUCGGGGUGAUUGGUGUGCUUCACGCGGUAGCAGGGAUCAUCGGGACUGGGGAAAUCGCUCCGAGAGUAGAGAGAGCUACGAUGCUAGAGAUCGCAGGUGUGAUCGGGAAGUGUUUGAGCGCAGGGACUGGAUUCGAGGUGCUGAAAGAGAUCGGAGGCAAGUCAGAAGCUCGGAGGAAUGGCACUCGGAUGACUAUCGUAGCAGUAGCGGGCAGUGGGAUUCAAGUAGCAGGUUUACCAGUGUACAAGCGGCGGUCCCGGCAUUCCAAGCGAAUGAAGGAUCGGCUUUUCUUUCCUCUAGUCACCAUUUGCCGCCUCCUUCCGUAGAGCACGAAUCUUCUACACCUCCGCCUCCUGUGGCUGCCCUGCAGCCUGUUCUAGGUGAUCCGGGAACUCAUGUUGCGAUGGAGAUCGAAAGUGAUGGACAAGAACAGGAAGACCGAGAUGAAACGUAUGAGCCUGGAGAGGUGAAGGACGGGUGGGUGUACAUCAACAAGAUGGAGACACGCAGGGAGCAUGCACAGUCUCCGACAACGUUCGUCGCCUUACAGAAGCUGGUAAAUCCUGUCGCUGCUACUAGAAAUGCAAAAGAUGCUACACUGGUGGAAUCGACCAUCGAUGGAAACGCGCAGUUCCAAAAUGAGUCUUUUGAGUUCUUGGACAUUGACGGAAGGGUGGAGAGAAUACUUGCGACCUGUCGUGCCUCGGACCAAGGAAACGAGCUUAAAUCUGUAUUGAGUGCGUUGGAUGCACAGCGACAACACUCACCAGACGAAGGUUCUGCUCCGCCUGAGCUGAGUAAUCCGUGGAAGGACUCAUACAACCUCGGAUUCGGCGUUGAUGCUGAUUUGGAGUGUCUAGAUGCGGUUCCCAGAGUUGUGCCACCCGAGCCGGUGCCUGCUCCUCCGCCGUCAACCGAGGAGGACUUGCAUCAUCACGAUCACAAUCCAAGUCCAUUGAAGUGGAAGCCUGGUAGAUGGACUUCCAAGGGAGGAGACUGGAAGUUACUUCAUCCGGAUGGUCAGAACUACGUCAAGGUGGUUCUGAAUGAGGGUUCUUUGCUCUGCGAACGUCCGCAUUACGGGGUUGACCCCAGGAGGCAGGUCCAGGUGUCAGAAAGACCAAAGUUUGAACUGCCACAGUGGGCACUUGACAGAAAUCAGAAGGCGGAUUCAAGUGCUGAAACGACGAAAUCAGCUUCGGCAACCAGGCCAGCGAAGACUGCUACCAGGGCUUUCGACCAUGGAAAAGAGAUUGCUCCGGAGAGAGCAAGCAUGGAAAGACCGAGCUCUUUCCUUACGAAGAAGGCAUCUUUCAGCGAUACGCGUCCUAAGACACUGCCACCUGAAAGGCACACACCUUCAGCAAGAACGUUUGCUUCGAAAGCUCAGAGACCGUCUUCAUGCUCUGCAGAUAUCAAGGCUAAAUGCAACCAUGAUCUUGGUAGAGGAGACUGGUUCUACAAGGAUGGAGGUGGUCGCGAAAGAGGCCCGUACUCAUUUGCUGAACUGCAAGCAAUGGUUGGAAGAGAGCUCCUAAUACCGGGUACCAGCGCUUAUAGGAAGAGUGAUGAUCUCUGGGUGCCACUCCCGCGGCCUGAGAUGGAUGAUGGCAACUUCAACGUGACAGAGGUGACCACUUCCAGUUUUGAUGGUGCCCGACGCGUGAGGAAAGUCGUGACCACAAAUAUCCAGCAGACUAUCAUGGCCUUCACCAGCGGCCAGCUACAUGAACACGUUAUGAAGCACUACAAAAAUCAGGUGAUGUCCGCGAUUUUGUUCGAAGGUUUAGAUGCUCGUGCAAAGCUCAUAGAGUCGAACAGAAGGCUUUCAACGUGCUCUACAGUAGCUUUGCUCUCCGGCGAAGAUUCUUGGAUUGGAUAUGGAAGGUCUCACCCCUCGCCUUCGAGCUCCAAUGACACAAGUGACGAACGCGAAGAUGGUGACCAAGAUCAUCGUCCCAACAGAAGGCCUUUAUUCAGGUCUAACGGAUUGAGCCAGGAGCAGACUUCCAGAAAACGGCGUCUGGUUUACAAUGACGAUGUAGAAUCGUCGGAAGAUGAACUCCCGACAGGAAGAAGAACAAGACAGCGACGUCUGAUCCGCAACGACGUUUUUGACUCAUCGGAUGAGCACUUGUACGAGGCGGGACAGAAUAACAGCUGGGAGACACUAGGACAGUUGAUGCUGAUGCGAAUCUACCAUCAUCUUAAAGGGGACUUGAAAUCGCUGGCAUUGAUUUCUAUGACCUGCAAAUCCUGGCGCGCUGCUGUUGAGAAGUUCAAGCCAAAAGUGAAAUGCCUCGAUUUUACGUCCAUCGGAGUGCAUUGCACAGAUGCUGUUUUGUCUUCGGUCCAGCAACAAAAUUACGGUGGGGGCAACCUGAAGCAGAUACUGCUGAAGGAUUGCACGGUGCUCAGUCCGGAUGCUCUCGGGAAGUUUUUGGAGGCUUGUCCGACGAUUCAAGAUGUUGAUAUCAACGGCUGUGACCAGUUCGGCGACCUUAGUCACAGUUUUCCUCAAGUAAACUGGGUAUACGACGACAGUGAGGUGUCCGACAGUGCAACUCAGGGAAGCGAUGAUUCCCAUCGCAAGAUGAAAAGCUUGAACUCCAUCGGCACUUGUAGCUAAAGUAAGGACGAUGAAGACGUGGAUGAGUCAGAGCCGAUGGACAUAGACCCAUGCUACAGCAACGAGCAGGACAUCGAUUCCAUGACGCAGCACAGCGGCUACAAACGGGUUAAGGUGACCACCGAUAUAAAGGUCCUAAAGGAUAAUGGUUACUUGAAAGGCAAACGGAAAACUACGGUGACGAAGAAGCUCAACAAGCUAAGACGUUCAGUGAAGUCUGUCGUACUGGAUGAAGAAUUCACCGAGGUGGACGAGUAUGCAUGCGAUGUACGCGAAUGGGGUGCGCGCAUGCCCAAAGCAGCGAUGGUGCCACCGGUGACCAGGAAGUAUGAGAUUAUUGAGGACUACUGGAUAGUCAUAGACAAAGACUUGGUCGAAAGGAAGAUGAAAGUCGAGGUUCCAGACGACUAUGAGGAGAAGCUAAGGGCUUCAAAGCUGAAGCGUGGUGAAUACAGCCACCUAGACAUUCCUGACAUCAAGGAGUACCACCCUCGAAGAGAAUUGGGGCUGGAAGUCAUGGAGCAGGAGGUUUAUGGAAUAGACCCGUACACACAUAAUCUUCUUCUGGAUACUAUGCCAAAGAUUCCAGCGAUGACACUUCAAGAGAAACUGCAGUUUAUGGAAGAGACAUUGCUCCAAGCCAUAAACAAGGAGGUAAAACAGUUUACCGGUACAGGAAAAGCGCCAAUUGAUUUUUCACUGGAACCCGUCAUACAACGAAUCGUAGAUGACGCUCAAGAUACGUCCAUGCAACAGUUUGCCCAAGGGCUUCUCUCUAACAUGCGCAAUCGUACAAAGGAGAAGUAUUUAGCUUAUCGCAAGGGCCUCGGGGUGGUUUGUAACAAGGACGGUGGAUUUAAGGAGGACGACUUUGUUGUGGAGUUCUUUGGGGAGGUGUAUCCUGCCUGGAGAUGGUAUGAGAAACAGGACGGAUGCCGGUAUUUGCAGAAGAAAGAUAAAGAACCUUUGCCAGAGUUCUACAACAUUCUAUUGGAACGGCCAAAGGGUGAUGCUGCUGGCUACGAUCUUGUAGUCGUGGAUGCCAUGCACAAAGCAAAUUUUGCAAGUCGGAUAUGUCACUCAUGCAGACCAAACUGCGAGGCAAAGGUCACUGCCGUCAAAGGCCGAUACAUUAUUGGAGUCUAUGCUCUACGACCUAUCCAGAAUGGUGAAGAACUAACUUUCGACUAUAAUUCUGUGACGGAGAGCAAAGAGGAGUACAACAACUCAAUCUGUUUGUGCGGAAGCCAGUGUUGUCGUGGGAGCUAUCUUAAUCUUGCUAAUGCGGGAGCUUCACAAGAUGUUAUCAAGGAGCGGCAUGGUCUACUGGACCGGCAUGUUCUACUUCUUGAAGCCUGCUGUGAGGGGCCGGUGACAAGGUUGGAGCUCGAAGAGAUGAGGCAGGCGGGUGUUGGAUCUUGUCUUCUGGACGGCUUGCCGGAUUGGUUGCUAAAAUAUACGGCCCGACUGGUGGAGUUUAUGAAUCUGGAACGGCAACUACUGCCUGACGAGCUCAUGAGAAGUGUUAAAAAGAAGAGAAAGGAUGCCGAUUUAUCUUAUGAACUCGGUAGAGUCGACGCCGAGAACCAGGCCGAGGGUGUCUACAAUCAAAGGCUGCAAAACAUUGCCAUCACACUUGACAAAGUGAGGUACGUCCUGCGGCAACUGUUCACGGAUCCUCGGGAGGCACCACCUCUUUUGAAAAAGCUCGAUCAGAAGGAACUCGUUUCGCGGCUGUGGAGUGCAGAGAAUUCGAUUGUGAACGAGCUGCUUAGCUGUAUGAUGCCACACAUCCCGGCGGAUAGAUUAGCUGAGUUGAAGCGGCAGGUUCAAGAGCAUACGCCAGACGAAAGAGACGACGGGGGAAGCCUCCGGGAGUCACUCUUAUGGCUAAGAGAUACGCUGCGAGGUUUGGAGCCGACAGUGUUGUCAAGACAUGAUGCAGCUGCAGACCUGGUUCAGAUGUACGCGUACACUCAGUGCUUCUUUACGUGCGAGGAGUAUGGCACCUUUGAGUCCCCUCCGAUUGAAAUAAGCUCCCUGGAUCUUGGCAAGCAUGUCAAUCCUCCCUCUUGCCACAAGUGGAAGAAGACGUACAAUAAGGAGUACGUGCUUGGGCAGCUCAUAUCCUGGUUCAAGCAGACAUGCGCUGAUCCUGGUGCCAGCCUUGUACAGCAACGAAGAGGCUGCCUGGUGCUCCCGGAUUUCUCGUCCUGCUACGCCAAGGGCUUGCAGCAAGAUUCUCGGCGUGCGUACGGCUCCAGGUUUCGAGAAGAAAUGUUCCCGCGAAUGGAGCGCUGGCCUCAAAAGCAGUGGCCAAAGUCACAGUUUUGGGAGUUCAAGAGUAACAGAGGGCUGUUUGGGAGUCCAAUGCUGGAUGCCGUGCAGCGACGCGGCUAUCCAGACUCGGAGAUGAUGCAUUGGCUCAAGACGAGGCCCGUUAACUUUGAAGGCCCCUACGACGAUUGAGAAAGAAGAGAGAGCAGGGACGAAAAACAAAGGAAAGAGAAGGGAAGGAGCCACAUCUUGUUUUACGAUGAUUAGCUCAUCGCGGUGGGCUAAUCAUCCUAAAACAAGGAAUGUGGAAACAAGGUUUGUUCUUGUUUUUGUACAGAUAUACAUUGUCCGCGUUUUGUCGUUUGAUUUUUCUUACAUGGUCCCUUUUUUAAAAACGAAUAUUCUCUAGC